rnacentral:lncRNA from 1 species
UCCCUUUUCCCAGUUUACCCAUCAUUGGCCACCUCCACCUUCUCAAGAAGCCUCUCCAUCGUUCCUUAGCGAAAAUCUCCAACAAACAUGGCCCAAUCCUUCUUCUCCAUUUUGGCUCUCGCCCUGUUCUCGUCAUCUCAUCUCCAUCCGCAGCCGAGGAAUGCUUGACCAAAAACGACAUCGUCUUCGCCAACCGGCCUCCACUUCUAUUCGGAAAGUAUCUGGGCAACAACUACACCAGCCUUUCCUGGGCUCCUUACGGUGACAACUGGCGGAACCUAAGGCGUAUAUCGUCUCUUCAACUUCUCUCAACUAACUGUCUCCAGUUGCUCUCUUCCACGCGCCUUGAUGAGGUCCGCUCGCUUCUUCGCAAGCUUUUCGAGAGUCGAGAUCGGACGGUGGAGAUGAAAUCCGCACUCUUCGAGAUGAUGCUCAACGUCAUGAUGCGGAUGAUAGCGGGGAAAGGAUAUUACGGUGAUAAUGUGGCAGAGAUAGAUGAAGCGAGUAGGUUUCGUGAAAUGAUGAGGGAAACGUUUCUUUUGGGUGGCGCAUCAAAUAUGGGAGAUUUUUUGCCUGUGUUGAAGUGGGUUGGAAAGAGCGAGAAAAGGAUGAUAAACUUACAGCAGAAAAGGGAAACAUUUAGUCAGGAGUUGGUACAAGAGUGGAGAAGUAGAAUGAGUGAUGGGAAAAGUUCUUUAGUUACAGAAAAGAAAAGGACCAUGAUUGAAGUGCUGUUGUCUUUGCAAGAAGAAGAUCCUGAAAACUACAAGGAUGAGACUAUUAGAAGUCUCAUGAUGGUAAGAUGUUAACGGUACCAAUAGUUUUUUAAUAUCGUUUUUCUUUUCUUUCAUUAGACAGUGUCCUAAUUUGGGUCCUUGAAUGUGAUAGGUUUUGCUUCUCGCAGGAACUGAUACUUCAGCGGGUACAUUGGAGUGGGCGAUGUCUUUUCUUCUGAACCAUCCGGAAGUACUGGAGAAUGCACAAACUGAGAUGGAUGCGGUUGUUGGACAAGGUCGGCUGAUGGACGAAUCAGAUUUGCCUAAUCUUCCUUAUCUUCAUUGCAUUAUAAGGGAGACGAUGCGAAUCAAACCAGUCGGUCCGUUGUUAAUACCACACGAGUCAUCAAAAGAUUGCGUGGUCGGAGGGUAUCAUAUACCGCGUGGCACCAUGUUAAUGGUGAACUUGUGGGCUAUACAUAAUGAUCCUAACAAUUGGGAGGAGCCUACAAAAUUUAAGCCAGAGAGAUUUGAAGGUUUGGAAGGGACUAAAGAUGGGUUCAAGUUCAUGCCAUUUAGGUCAGGGCGGAGGAGCUGUCCUGGAGAAGGGUUGGCCAUGCGAAUGGUUGGCUUGACACUGGGGUCACUAAUUCAGUGCUUUCAUUGGGAGAGAAUUGGUAAGGAGAUGGUGGAUAUGACGGAAGGGCCUGGCCUCACCAUGCCCAAGGCUCAACCUUUGCAGGCUAAGUGUCGGCCUCGCCAACCCAUGGUUAAUUUGCUUUCUCAAAUUUAAACCAAAUCCUCUAUAAAGUUUGUGUAAUUUCCUCCCUAUAUAUUGGGGUUUAUGGGAUUGAACCUUUCAUGAAAGCUGUCGACACAUUUCCACUACUGAUAACGGGUAAGAGCUGCUUGUGCCUAGCUCGUAGUCGUAGAAUUUUUAUGAUAUUUACUGUACAAUAUUGCUGAUAUAUAUAGACAAUGGAUGUGUAAGUUUUUAAUCUUUGCCUUGCUCUUGCUAUGCUCUAGUUAAUGAUGAUGCUGGGCAACUAGACUGAGACCUGGAUAUAUUCAGACUAGUUGCCAGUUGUUUGAGAAUUUAUGCAUCUGUUUUCAUUCUUAAACUGAAACCUGGAAAAAGAUGAACACCUUGGUUCAAUGUUUGGUGUUUCUAAUCUACUAAACUGAAUUCUAAAGUGGGAUAUCUGAGGCAUCUAAUUGUUAAUGAUUAAAAAACUUUGUAUACGUGAUUCAAAUGAAUGAGAGAUGAAGCAGUGUCCAUUUUGGUUAAUUUGAUUUCAAAACAGGGCUGCUUUCACUUUCAUUUUGGAGAGCAUAUGAUCGAAUUGGCUGCAUCUAAAAAGCAUCACAGGUUAAAUUAAAUUGAUUAAAAUUAUUUUUGAAAGAAAGAUCGUGAUACCCAGUAUGUUUGUGUGCACAGAAACUGAUGCUCUCUUCAGUUAUUUAUUUCAUUUUCUUUAAGAUGUCCCAAAAUAAAAUAAAAAAAUAGUUUUUAAGCAUGUAACAUUUUUAUUUUUUAUAUUAAAAAAUAUUGAAUAUUAAUAUUAUAAAAAAAUUUAAAUUUUAAUAUAAAAUAUAUCAAAAUAAAAAAUUUUAUUUUAAUCAUAGAAAAAUAAACAAAUGAUAUCAUCAUAAGCCUCCUGCCCAAUUUAGUGGAUGCUAACUGAGAAACAAAAGUCUUGGUAUUUCAACAACUGGAAAGCCACGGUAUGAAGCUUGUUGUAGAAAUUUUCACAAUUUCCAACCUUCUCCUAUUACCUGUUGGAUUUGCAGGCUUCUUGAAAAGAAAGAUACAGAUUUUCUAUUUCACCUCUACACAAUUUUGCUGUAACCGAGUAAUAUCUCACCAGUAAUUUUAAUUAAUAGAAAGCAAACUGGGUUUUGUGGUGAUUCUAAUUCUAAUGAUUCUGACUGUUUCAAAGUUGCAUUUACUCUGUGGUGAUUCGGUGAUGGUAGGAGUCCUGUGCUACCCUGUAUGACUCUUUCGCUGGUUUUUUUGGAAUAUACGUACUUUCCAGGGUUGUGGAGAAAAAGGUCCGUCGCUAUAUCUUUGUUGGGAUAUUGUGUGGGCUCUGUUCGGGUUGAAACCUUGUAUGGCUAAAUCCUGAUUGAAACUCUUGAGGAAUGGUCUUACAAAAAAAAUAAUGCAAGUUAACGCUAUUCUUUCCGGUGCAUGCAGAAUUGGUCCCAGAAGUCUCCUCUCUUUCUCAGUCAAUGCCGUGAAAUGGGGAUAAACCCCCAAGGAUUAAAGUAGGAGCAACUCCCCGCAAAGAGGGGACAUUGUUGCCGGGCCAAAGCCAGCACCUCCUAUUUAAGUUGCGUUUUCUCCACAUACCAAUGCAAAUAACAAUCCUAUAUAAGACUUUGUAAGCAGUUACUUCUCUAGCUAUGCGCUUCUUCAAUGAAUAGAAACGAUGAUGUUAUUAUUAUAAUCGGAGUUCAGCUUUUUACAGGACGGACUUAAUGACUAAAAGUCUAUGCACCCCCAAUUGCAUCCCAUGUUCAACUGCAGGGUAGAUAUCAAACUUUGUCAAGAAGAAAUAAUAUUGGCCUUGUAAUACCCACGCUGAAAUACAAGCAUUUUACAUGAAAAAGAUUUGCAAGACAAUCUUCAACCAAACCCUGUUUUAAGAACGGAAAAGUCCUGCCCCAACUUUCCGCCCUUCUUUUCUCACCAACAAAACAUAGGAAACCUCGUUAAAGUCAAAACUAUGAUUAACUGUCCCUACUUACUCCCCAUUUUUUCUCCGGUAUGUGCUGGCUUUUGAUCUUUUGAUGCCCAUCUCUUCACAUUCUCUAUUAAAACUUCUUUUUCUGAAAGGCAAAUGAUUCAUUGAUAAAGCGAGAAUGAAAAUUUUUCUGAAGUUAUAGUAAGAAUUUUUUAUGAACCCAAACUAUUCAACUAGAUGGACUUGUACUUGACAUAAUUCAUCUCUAAACAAAAUCAGAAAGCUCGAUGAACCAACCUAACAACAUAAACAAUUGAAUGGUAGCUUUUAAAACCACAACAAAUUUAUCAGCACAGGGACAGUCAUUCGAGAGAAUCUAAAUCACGUGGCUAUGAAUAAUGGAUAAUGGGAAAUAUGGAUGCCAAGUCAUAUAUCUUGUCUCCAAAUUCCAAGGCUAUCCAUCGUCCACGUUAUUUAAUUCAAAGAUAAUGUUUUAGUUUUUUUUCCGAUGAUUUAUUUUGAUUUCCCUCAUUAAUGUUUAUUUAGUUCCUAAUUGCAUUAAACUGAUAUUUAUCAAACAAAAGUUUCUUUUGAAAUGUUCCUUAUAAAAUCCAUAGCCAUAAUUGAUUGACAGAAAUAUAAAGACUUGAGAAAGAAGUCGUAAAGGUGGAAAAUUUGUUGGGAGUUGUUCAUUAUUGUAAUAAACAAGAUUAAACUUUUAAAUAGGUUUACUAAUAUAGUAUUCUGCUUUUUUUAUUACGUGAAGUGACAAUGUUUUGCUGCUGAAAAAAGAGGAGGCACACAGUUGGGGCGGGCAGGAAGUUGGGUAGGAGAGUUUCCUUCGGUGGAAAAUUCCUGUGGAGUGUUGUGGAAAGGCAAUCAUCGAAAGAGGAAAGAAAAAGCAGCAGGGAGACUUGUAGGAGGUCUCCCAUUAAAACAAACCAGAAGACGGUGUAGUCAAGUAAACUCCGGUCAUCUCAUUGCUUCAUUUGCAAGUUUGAAAAUUCAAGUAUUGAAGAUCUAGAAGGGGAAUAAUUAUAGAAAUCCGACUGGAAGAUAUUGCUUGGACCUUUCUCUACGCCACUCUUCACACUUUAACAUUAGUCAAGCUUAAAGGUAGAUUCACAUGACAAAUUUGUGCAAAAAGUAACCUUGUUCGGCUUCUCCGAAGAGGCGGAGAAAUCCUAUCAUAUUGGAAAAACCACAACAAACACGGCCCAUACUGGAGAAGGUGGAGAGGUUUCCGUUAAACCCUCCAAACUACAACAGCAUCACUUCUCUGAAAAAUCCAAAACCCUCCGACGACAACUUACAUAACUUGUCGGACAGGCACUAGUAUUAUUGUAUUUAAGAAACACAAGUACACCUAAACACCCAAGGUUAAUUGUUUCACCAUGUUUCUACAAAUCCUCCUCUUCGUAGCCCUUUAUUCUAUCACCACCCAUUUGCUCCACAAGUUUCAAAACCAUCCUCCUAUCCCUUUUCCCAGUUUACCCAUCAUCGGCCACCUCCACCUUCUCAAGAAACCUCUCCACCGUUCCCUAGCGAAAAUCUCCAACAAACAUGGCCCAAUCCUUCUUCUCCAUUUUGGCUCUCGCCCUGUUCUCGUCGUCUCAUCUCCAUCAGC